rnacentral:rRNA from 1 species
GGCUACAGAACGAACGCUGGCGGCAGGCUUAACACAUGCAAGUCGAACGCGUGUAGCAAUACACGAGUGGCGCACGGGUGAGUAACGCGUGGAUAUCUGCCUUUUGGUUCGGAAUAACUCCGGGAAACUGGAGCUAAUACCGGAUGGUUCCUACGGGAUAAAGAUUUAUCGCCAAAAGAUGAGUCCGCGUACGAUUAGCUAGUUGGUGAGGUAAUGGCUCACCAAGGCGACGAUCGUUAGCUGGUCUGAGAGGACGAUCAGCCACACUGGGACUGAGACACGGCCCAGACUCCUACGGGAGGCAGCAGUGGGGAAUAUUGGACAAUGGGGGCAACCCUGAUCCAGCCAUGCCGCGUGAGUGAUGAAGGCCUUCGGGUUGUAAAGCUCUUUUGGCGGGGACGAUGAUGACGGUACCCGCAGAAUAAGCCCCGGCUAACUUCGUG